CCAGCAGCCGCGGUAAUUCCAGCUCCAAUAGCGUAUAUUAACGUUGUUGCAGUUAAAAAGCUCGUAGUUGGAUUUCUGACAGGAGUGACCGGUCCGAGUCGCAAGGCUCGUGUACUUUUUGUGUCUUACUCUAGUCAUCCUUAUGGAGAUCGUGUUUCGGCAUUCAGUUGUCGGGCAUGGGACCCAUAUCGUUUACUGUGAAAAAAUUAGAGUGUUUAAAGCAGGCAAUUGCUGUGAAUACAUUAGCAUGGAAUAAUAAGAUAGGACUUUGGUGCUAUUUUGUUGGUUUGCCACCAAGGUAAUGAUUAAGAGGGACAGUUGGGGGUAUUCGUAUUUAAUUGUCA
rnacentral:rRNA from 1 species